rnacentral:lncRNA from 1 species
UAUAGGGUUCUCCACAAGAUUAAUAUAUGGAUUUUCUGAAACUAAAUUAAGGUUGAGGAUUUGAAUUACUGUAUUGUGUCUAUAAAAAAAAACUAAUGUUAAAUAGCAUUACAAAAUCACUUCAGCAAAAAAAUUUGCCAAACAGCUUUCUAAAAUCACUUCAGCACAAUCACUUUUCUAUCAGACUCAGCCAAACGCUCUACAGCUUUUAACAAAAAUUACUUCUCCAAACCAAAAUCACUUUUUCAUAAAUUACUUUUUCAGAAGCUAGGCCAAACAG